AAGCUUGUGGGAGGAGCAGGGCCUCGCUCUCACUCGCACACACUCGUCUCACUGUACGGCAGGGAGGAUUAAAACAUGGCAGGCAGCAGCAGCAGGCAGCUCGAUGCACCGAAGGCAACAAGUCCCAUCUCAUGCUAACGAUGUGGGAAGUUAAGAGGACCGGCCCACACUCGCAGAGCGAGUCCGAGACCGAGAGCUCCCCACUGGCCGUUCAGAACGAGGAUGCAGCGCGGAGAUCUGGACAUUGCAAAGGCUCCGCGAGGGAAACGGUGGGCACGGUUGCCACAUGAGCCGUAGCAAUGUGCUGAUUGCGCCUCAUGCAGACCACGGGUUGAGAACCACUGAUUUACCAGCAAGUAGCACUGUGCAGAUGACUGCUUCAUGAAUAGUAUUGGUCUCUCCUAACAGAAGCUGUAGGAUGCUGGAUAGAGAGGACAAUGUGCUGUAAUAUGAAGGUUUUCCCUCAUGUGGAAUUCAAGGAGCCGCUGAACGUUUGCUGACUCGACUACAACCCGUGUUUCUUCUUUAAAGACAUGGACAACAUUUGGGAAGCCAAGGAGAAAUUUCCAUUGUGAACAUACGAACUCUUAAAUUCCAGGCAUCCAGGAUUGGGUCCUAUGCAGUUUCUAAAGUGUGGAUUCGAUUCUGACAGCUCAUAGCCAGGAUAAAGAAGCUGUAGAAACACUUGGGAAAAUCAAGUAAUCUUCUCAUUGAGACAAUGUUAUCCUGUUAACUGCAAAUGUGCAAAGAACAACAAUCACUAGGCAUCAGUGUUUGAGAGACUGCUGUUUCAUCCUUCAGCUGGGUGGAGGUGAAGCAUGCCAUCUGUUUGCAACUGGAAAAGAAAGGACAGAUUAUGGCACAGCUGGUAGCCCAGCGAUCCCAAAUUAAUGCUGGCUGAUGUGUUAUAACUCUUGAGCACUAUCUGAAGAGGCAAAACGUACUUCUUUGCAGAAUAGCAGAGAUGUCAUGAGUGGUGCUAAAUAUGUGAAUCACAAUGAAGGGAGCUCUUAACAAGCAUCGAGCAGGAACACUAAUUCAUAUGCAAGUAUUUUAAGAGGCAUUUUCCUAGAAGCAUGAUGGACCCUCUGUUCCUCAAAGCGCUGCUGCUUUUGGCUGGCUGCUUGACUGGGCUUGUCUAUCAUCUCUCCAAUCCUUUUCUGGGAGAAAAGAGAACAGGUUAUGAAAAACCGAAUUUUGUAAUCAUUUUGGCAGAUGAUAUUGGAUGGGGGGACCUUGGAGCCAACUGGGCUGAAACAGAGGAUACUCCUCACUUGGAUAAGUUGGCUUCUGAAGGAAUGAGGUUGGUGGAUUUCCACUCGGCAGCAUCCACUUGCUCCCCGUCUCGCGCCUCGCUCCUCACGGGACGGCUUGGCACUCGCAAUGGCGUGACCCACAAUUUUGCUGUGACUUCAGUUGGUGGCCUCCCCCUAAACGAAACCACGUUGGCUGAGGUUCUGCAGGACGCCGGAUACCUCACUGCCGUGAUCGGUUUCGACUAUUACUUCGGGAUCCCCUACAGUCACGACAUGGGCUGUACUGACACCCCAGGCUACAAUCUCCCUCCGUGUCCAGCCUGCCCUUGGCACUCUGCAUUGACAAGCAGCUCUGGGAAGGACUGCUACACCGAGGUGGCACUUCCUCUCUUUGAAAACAUCAGUAUUGUCCAACAGCCUGUCAACUUGACCAGCUUGGCUGCGGAGUAUGCAGAAAAAGCAACUCGGUUCAUUCAGUGUGCCAGGAAAAGCGAACGCCCGUUCUUCCUGUACCUGGCUCUUGCUCAUAUGCACGUGCCCUUGGUAAUUGCUCAGCCACCAUCCUGCUCGUCAGUCAGGGAGGUAUACGGAGCCAGCUUGAGGGAGAUGGAUGCUUUCGUGGGACGGCUGAAAGAGGAGAUCGACAGCUCCCAGGAGGAAAACACACUUCUUUGGUUCACAGGAGAUAACGGUCCGUGGGCGCAGAAGUGCGAGCUUGCGGGGAGUGUCGGCCCAUUCAUCGGCACGUGGCAGCGACGGCGAGGUGGGAGCUCAGCAAAGCAAACCACUUGGGAAGGGGGACAUCGCAUUCCAGCACUGGCAUACUGGCCUGGCAAGAUCCCUGCAAAUGUGACAAGUGCUGCUCUGUUGAGCACCUUGGACAUUUUCCCCACCGUAGUGUCCCUGGCAAAUGCAGCCCUCCCUCCCCACAGACGCUUCGAUGGCCUGGAUGUGUCUGACGUCCUCUUUGGGCAAUCGCACAAUGGACACAAAACAUUGUUCCACCCCAACAGCGGAGCGGCUGGAAAGGACGGAGAGAUAAAAGCACUACGGCUGGCUCAGUACAAGGCUUUUUACACGACAGGUAGAGUGUCUGGUCCACAUUUAGACAGGCCCAUAGCCAGAGUCCCAGCUUCUUUGGAGAAGGUUAAAAACCCAGUACAAGAACAGAUCCAGACAAUGAGCUGCCCCCUCCCAGAAGCAUCUCUCCUGCAUUUGCUGAUGGCUGAGCAAAGGAGGUAGGCUGCGCACCGCAAAGGUGGCCUUUGAAACAGUUUUGCAGUGAAAGUGGGAUGCAGGCUCCAGGGCUACGGACGCCUCGCAGAGCACGGGCAGCUCCUGCGCAGACUCAGCAAGGCACGCAGACCCGUGACUUCGACAGACAUGCUCAAAGGCAGGUGCUUGAGUAUCCUGCUGACUUUUUGCCACAGUGCUGUUGCUGGUGCCAUUGCUGCACUGGUCGCUAUUGCCAGUCCUGGUGAUGUCUGGAAACGAAGCUAUGGGAAGGGGACAGCCAGAGGCAUUUCAAAAAUAGGUGAAGAUGAAGGCUCUUGAUGAGAAACCCCAGCAGUCUAGGGAGUGCUGUUUCCCUCGGUGCUUGGUGGGAGCUCACAUCCAUUUACCCUCAGAGGGUGGCUGACCGAAGUGGGUCCCUCACCCAGCCUCAGACCUGCUGGGCCUGCCUCCAUCACCUGGUGGGUGACAGCUUCUCCGGUCAGAGCCAGUUUCUGGCCUCCCUGCGUUGAUGUUUAACCUGAGCAGCUUCAUGGCUAUGCUGGUGUACCUCGUAUUUUCCCUUUUUGCUUUGCUCUUCCUUUUUACAGCAACCCAGACUCCAGCCCCCAGGACACCUUGCUAUGUUUCCCUUGUGUGUAGAGCUUUCCAAAACCAUCGUUUCACCACCACAUCAUCCUGGGGUCUGCCCCUGCAAACCCGAAGGCCGCUGCAUUGAAGGAUUUGAAGCCCAGCUGGAGUUUCUGACCCAGCACUGAAUUUCAGAGCUGUACUUACUUUCAGGCAAGGCCUUUGCCAAAUCAUGGAGCAAGUCACUUCAUGGAUUGCUUGUGCUAGCACCGUCCCCAGAGAGCUGGAGAGGCUCUUAUGGCAGCUUCUGCCAUGGUGCAGCUGUACCCUAGGAAACGUCUGCGUUUCCUAGCCUAACUCCACAUGAAAAGGGGUUUGCUUUCUGCUUCCAGCUGGUUACACAAAGCCCAGCAGUGUGGGAACUGGGCUAGGGAUGAGAGGUGUGUCCUACUUAGUUCCUUGCCUCCGAUCAGCUAGUUUGCUGUAGUUCUGUCUCAUCUAGGACCCUUCCUUGGAGAGCUACCUGCUACUUGUGACAUCCCCUUACGAGUCUAGCACAGCUGGCGAGGAAUGACCCUGCAGCAGGGUCCCGCGGCCCCUGGAACACGUUGUUGUGGUUUUGUUUCAGGGGGAGCAAAAGCUUGUGAUGGGAGCAUUGGGCUGGAGGAGCAUCAUGACCCACCACUCAUGUUUAAUCUGGAGCGCGAUGCCCAGGAGCAGGAGCCUUUGGAUACGAAGUCCAGCGAGUACCAGGCCGUGUUUCCUGCAGUAACCAGGGCUUUCGCCGACAUUCUGCAGGAUAUUGCAACAGACAACGUGUCUACGGCCGAUUACUCCCGCAACCCGGCUGCAACGCCCUGCUGCAAUCCACAGCACGUAGUCUGCCGAUGCCAACCUUGCCGCAACCCAGACCACAGCGGGACUACGCAGUCAACACACUCUCAGGCUUAAUCAGCAGUGGGAACAGCAACAAUCUGGCUGGGUGAUGCACGGAGCCUUGAUCCAGCCAGCACCUCAUCCAGGACACACACACUAGAGAAUUAGACCAAGCUUGAUCGCAACGUUUCAGCUCUUAACCCCUGCAGCUAGUAUCGCAGCUUCCUCCGCACGCAGCCAUGAGAUAUGCAAGAGCAAGAACUGUCAACAGCAACUUCAUACCAGCUAGUCAAGCAGCCCAGCACAAGCCACAGCAAGGCAGUGGAGAUAUUUGGUGGCUAUCUGCACCCUCUCCUGGAAAGUACCUUGGCAGAGCUGCGGUGCUCACUCUCCCACCCGCCCUGCGCCCAGAAGGGUUCAGCCUCCCCACCAAACACAAAUGGCCACGUGGUCUCCAGUGGGGCCUGCCAUCCCCAGGCGGGUUUUUCUCCUGAUAGAGAUGCGUUCGGUACUCUCUCUUACAGUGGUGUAUUUUUCUCAGACAUUUUCCCCAAGAGAUUUUGCUCUCAGGAGGCUGGUAGCUGAACUGGGGGCCAUGGCUUAACUUAAGGACUUUCAGAAACACAAAUGACCAAAUCUUGUUGUGCAGUGGCACUGGAUUAACCAUCACCAAGCUGAUCAAGCUACAGUCAUCAUACCUGGGUGUGUUGUGGGUGUCCUUCUGCCUGCAAGGCUUAAUCAGGCCAAACUCCCUUCCAAGCCACUGAGUCAGGAGUUGCCUUAAGGAAGCAAAUGAUAGCUAUACUUCCACUAAGGCUGCCCUCGGUGAAGCAUCCUGGAGCACUGUUAAUAGACAACAGAGUUCCACAGAGGCGCUUUGACUCUUCGUUAUCUUAAGAGAUGACUCUAAAGAAACAGCUAAAAAUUCAUCUGAGUGUCAAAUGUCUAUGUAGCCAAGUGACGAUGAUACAAAUGGCAUGAGGAAGACAUCGGAAAUGAGCAGGCAAAUGUUGGCAAUAUGUACCCCAAGUAGUUCCCCCUUGGGCAUGCUGACAGUGUCACCUUGGGCAUGCUAAGAAUUUGGUCCUGGCGGGAAAUGAAACUUUUAGUACUGAUCUUUGGGAAGCUUUUCUGCCCACCUUUGCAAAGCUAUGGGAAAGCCCUGUUCAGUUCUGUGCCAUGUGGACACCUGCUGCUGGACAGGCAGCCGUGUUGCUGCAAGCAUAUCUAGCGCAAAGCUCUUACCUGUGCUUGUUGUAGGACCUUGGCUGUGUAACGAGGUCACAAUGUCACCUUUAGCCUGCCUUAGGGACUAAGCUGCUUUGUGCAAAGCCAGGCUUGUUAACUCUCUGAUCAUCACGAUUAGACCAUCCGCUAAGUAUGGCAUGCCGGAUGCAAUGAGCAUUCUUCUAAUCCUGCAGCUAAUGUAUGCUGAGUGCAAUACAAAGUUAGUAAAGAAAGCUGGCACUUAACAGAACAACCACUUCAACGGGCUCUCUAAACAGCUUUUCCCAUCUGGCCAAACAGGAACACUAGGUUAUAUACUGCAGUGCGAGGGUACCAUCGCUCAAGCCGCAAGAAUCAACUGGCCACUUAGCAAUCCAGUCUGCAACCUAAAGAGGGUACGGGUAAACUGUCCCGUCUUCAGGGCCCAUUUUCUCAUUGAUACUCAUAUUGUCAGUGGGUGCUAUGUGUCUGUAGUGGCAGCAGUGUCCUUCAGCUGCCUGCCCUUUUGAGGUACCCAAAGGGCACUGAGCAUAGAAGAGCUACUUUUGUAUUUCAGGCACCAGUCACUGGCUUCUAAUACUGGCCUGCCAUGCAGUUGCUAGUUAGGAGUCAGAGCAAUAAAAAUCUCUCCUGCUUUUAGGCUCCACAUAAUGCUCCUGAAUGAGAUUCUUUGGCUCUUGAUGCUUAACAAAAAUCCAGCUGAACUGAGCUACGAAUGCUAUCCCUGCAGUCGUGCCCUAUAGAGCGGCAUUUAAAACCAGAACUGUGCACUCACUAAGCAGAAGUGGGCUUGCUUCUCCCUACAAGGAUUUCUUAUUAGUGAGAAGGGAGCUGUAUGCACUCCUAAGCCCUCCCACCGAGUCAGCUUUCUGAAGGGGACCAAAACUACGAUGUCUUUCACUGGGUUUGCGCUGUUGCCCCGGACUGUCGCAUCCGAGUGCCAGCCGCAUAAAACAAACAGCAGGUCCUGGGGGACCUCCUGGAAUCCAAUCUAUUCCUCUCGCCGCAAGCAAUGCAAGCGAUUGAUCUCGUCUUCCUCAUCACUACGCUUUCCACAGCACACAGCAGUCGGUAUCGUGAGUAACGACAUCCAGACAACUUUUCGUUUGAGUCUAUUUUUAAAUCAUGCGCUUGGGCAUUUCAUCUUUUCUCUUUGAGAUCUCAGGUCUGGCCCUUCCCUUUUCAAAUUAAGCGGCCUCCUUCUAUAGCUAGCAAUAGAUUUUGAAUCCGGCCCAAGAUAUCUCUGAAGCCUUGCUUGCUCGUGUUUAGUUCACCAGUGACCCAGGGCAGGAGAAGGCAGAGCAUUUUAAGACAAGAACUGCAGGAAAGGACUACGGCAUGUUGCUCUUGCCACAAGGGCCUGUCGUAGCAUAAGCCAGCGAGUAGAGCUGGAUGGAGGGACGGCUGCUCUGCUUGUGACAGCUCAGAAGAGGUUUGGGAAACUUUUUGUUGCACCUCGGACAGGGACCAAACCUCCCCCCUGCUGCUCUGAACUGGGAUUGUGCCCAAACCUCUUUGUCAAUUUGCUUCUCUCUUCUCUCUCUUUCUAGUCGGAGGUGACGAGGGAGACCACCUUGGACCCCGGGAAUCUCUCCCUGAAUAUUUUGUGGAAAGAGAAAUGCAGCGGCUUCAACAAAGCAGCAUGUCUCAGUAAAAAGGCAUUUGUCAAAAUUGCUCUGACUGCCUUUGCCCAGCGAGCGUGGCCCGAGUGAGCUCCCAAACUAGCAAGUGAACUGGCCACAGGGUCCAUGACUUCCAGCCCGUACAGGGGAAGCACAGCCCCAGCGACAGAUGCCAUGUCUGAGCUCCUACUGCUCCGUCUCUCCACCGAGGAAUAUUUUUGGAAAGUCCCCUCCCUCUUCCUGAGUCACACGCAUAAAUUGUUCCCUCGAGUUAAUUACAGCACCGGGCUCUGACAGAUCAAAGUUCAUUAAAUAAAGAGCCUGCUGUUGUACAGCGGGGGGAUCAGGCUGCUUCUAUUCAAUCCGCGCACAGCAUGCAGACUCACUCAAGCCUAGCUCAGCUCCUGCUUGUUGGCACAUGCUUGUCCCUAGACCAUAUCUCCAAGGGCAGGCUCCUUGGAAACAAGCACAGCAAUUCUUCCUGGUCCUUGCUCCCUCUCAAGAGGACAUUCAUUUUACUACCCUCAGGGCCUAAACCUCAGCAGAGAGGCACUUUCUACCCCUCCAAACUGCAAAACUAAGUACCCUGAUUAGGAAGAACAAUUGGAGAAAACGUUCGUUCCAGGUUUGGAGUCAAGCACGGCACAGACAACACCAGGGAAGUGUAUUGUGCAGGGUGAGAGCAUUGCAAGGUCUGAAUUGCAGCAGAGUUUAAUGGGGAUGCUGGCAAGUCAGGUCUCAUGUAGACCUGAUUUCAAAGUGCUUUACAAAGGAGGUCAGUGUCCUUGAUCCCCUAGGCAGAUCUGAAAGCUUCAGCCACAAGUUGGGGGCCCAGUUCUGAGACCUUCAUGUGAUUUCUACUCCCUCCUCACCCUGGCAAAGCUCCUGUCGUAGGACGGGUGGAAAAACUCAAGCGUUGCCUGUUUUAAAAUGCCUCGGCAAUUUGGUCUGCUCAAAAUGCUCUGCUGUAUUAAGGUGUUAUGAUUACCAAGAUGCUGCCUAACUACUCUCAACAAUCAUCACAGGUAACCAAUAUCUAGAUGCCCACUAAAAUAAUAAUUGCAUAACAUAGUAAAAUACUUGGAUAAGGAUUGGAAAGACACGGCCAGGAGCACAGUCAGUUUUAAAAAGCCAAGAUGUUGCCGCCCAGUGAUUAAUGCCCUGUUAAAAUACUAGAAAUUGCCAAUUGUGGUAUAUUUUUCACUGCUUAUGCUGGGAUAGGGGGGAACAUGUUGCAUUUCACUCCGUUUGGAAAUUAAAGGAUGGAUCAGCAGUUUCAUAUUUACCCUGAUGGCUUGUAAGUGCUGUAGCCCAGUGGACUGAAAAAUCCUAUAGGGCCGGAUUUAUUUCCUUUUAAAAAUGCUUUUCUAUGGUUGCAAUAAAAACUUCUGCUCUCUCUCUGUAUUAGAGAUGCGCCCAGUUCAGACCUUCUCCCAGGUCCGCAGGCGUGCAGAUUUUGGGGGGUGGUGUUUGAGCCCAUCUCUAAUCAGCAUUAGGUCUUGCAGACCUCUCCUCCAUCUCUCCUCAGCUGGGUGGGUAGAAGCUUCCUGGCAGUGUCCUCAUACAGAAUUAGUGAUAAUAAGAGAUUAGGGCAGAACAGGGAGAGAAGAAACACAUCUCUGCUGUAAGAGGUUAAUACUUUCUUCUCAACUGUA